rnacentral:rRNA from 1 species
AUUGAACGCUGGCGGCAGGCCUAACACAUGCAAGUCGAGCGGAUGAAGGGAGCUUGCUCCUGGAUUCAGCGGCGGACGGGUGAGUAAUGCCUAGGAAUCUGCCUGGUAGUGGAGGAUAACGUCCGGAAACGGGCGCUAAUACCGCAUACGUCCUGAGGGAGAAAGUGGGGAUCUUCGGACCUCACGCUAUCAGAUGAGCCUAGGUCGGAUUAGCUAGUUGGUGGGGUAAAGGCCUACCAAGGCGACGAUCCGUAACUGGUCUGAGAGGAUGAUCAGUCACACUGGAACUGAGACACGGUCCAGACUCCUACGGGAGGCAGCAGUGGGGAAUAUUGGACAAUGGGCGAAAGCCUGAUCCAGCCAUGCCGCGUGUGUGAAGAAGGUCUUCGGAUUGUAAAGCACUUUAAGUUGGGAGGAAGGGCAGUAAGUUAAUACCUUGCUGUUUUGACGUUACCAACAGAAUAAGCACCGGCUAACUUCGUG